rnacentral:ncRNA from 1 species
CAAAAGUUUGGUCCUGACUUUACUAUCAGCUCUAGCUAGAUUUACACAUGCAAGUAUCCGCACCCCUGUGAGAAUGCCCCAACAGUUCCCUGCCUGGGAACGAGGAGCUGGUAUCAGGCACAUACCUUAAGCCCAUGACACCUUGCUUAGCCACACCCCCAAGGGAGUUCAGCAGUGAUAAACAUUAAGCCCUGAGCGAAAGCUUGACUUAGUUAAAGCUAAAAGGGCCGGUAAAACUCGUGCCAGCCACCGCGGUUAGACGAGAGGCCCAAGUUGAUAGCCACCGGCGUAAAGCGUGGUUAAAGAAAUUGAAACACUAAGACUAAAUGCUUUUGCUGCUGUUAUACGCACACAAAAGUUAGAAGCCCGACUACGAAGGUGGUCUUAAUACAUCUUGAACCCACGAAAGCUAUGAAACAAACUGGGAUUAGAUACCCCACUAUGCCUAGCCUUAAACAUUGAUAGUAUCUUACACCCACUAUCCGCCCGGGUACUACGAGCAUCAGCUUAAAACCCAAAGGACUUGGCGGUGCUUUAGACCCACCUAGAGGAGCCUGUUCUAGAACCGAUAAUCCCCGUCUAACCUCACCUUUUCUUGUUUUUCCCGCCUAUAUACCGCCGUCGUCAGCUUACCCUGUGAAGGUCUAAUAGUUAGCGAAAUUGGCACAGCCCAGAACGUCAGGUCGAGGUGUAGCGAAUGAAAAGGGAAGAAAUGGGCUACAUUCCUUGUUUUAAGGAAUACGGAUGAUGAACUGAAACAUUUAUCUGAAGGAGGAUUUAGUAGUAAGCAGAAAAUAGAGAGUUCUGCUGAAAUUGGCCCUGAAGCGCGUACACACCGCCCGUCACUCUCCCCGAAUGUGUCUUUACCGAUAUUUAAUCUCAAUUAACUUUAGAGGGGAGGCAAGUCGUAACAUGGUAAGUGUACCGGAAGGUGCACUUGGAAUAAC